GACGAACGCUGGCGGCGUGCUUAACACAUGCAAGUCGAACGGGCCUGUCUUCUUUUUUGGGGGGUGGGUUGAGUGGCGAACGGGUGAGUAUCACGUGAGUAACCUGCCCUUCGGUCCUGGAUAACCGCUUGAAAGGGCGGCUAAUACGGGGUGGUCCGGUUGGUCCGCAUGGGCUGGUCGGGAUAGAUUCACUGUUUUUGGUGUUUCGGCGGGGGAUGGGCUCGCGGCCUAUCAGCUUGUUGGUGGGGUGAUGGCCUACCAAGGCGGUGACGGGUAGCCGGCCUGAGAGGGUGGGCGGCCACACUGGGACUGAGAUACGGCCCAGACUCCUGCGGGAGGCAGCAGUGGGGGGUAUUGCACAAUGGGCGGAAGCCUGAUGCAACGACGUCGCGUGAGGGAUGGAGGCCUUCGGGUUGUGAACCUCUGUUUCCGGUGGUGAAGGCCCUGUCCGUGUGGUGGGGUUGACGGUAGCCGGGGAUGAAGCGCCGGCUAACUACGUG
rnacentral:rRNA from 1 species